GGGCGUAUAUUAGUACAAGUUAUGUAGCAUAAUAGAAUAGACCCCACAAUAGGAGUGAAAGGCUGCCAAGUCUGGUGAUAACUUGUUAACUUUGAGAAGUAUUUAGUACUUCGCCAAUUUAUUAGUGAUAAGGCUAAUAAAAAUUAUCUAAUUUGAUUACACCCCUAUCGACAUAGUUUAAUCGCUAGUUCUUUUACGAGACAAAUAUUAAUUUCUAUUCUUAGUAAACAAUAAAAGUUAGUAUUAAACCAUACUUAAUAUUUAUACUGUAGGUAUAAGUAACUUAGAUGCUGUUGAUGAACUUGGCAAUAUUUUCUUCACCUGUUUAUCAAAAACAUCGCCAGCAGGAGGUACUACUGGUCGAUUCUGCUCAAUGUUCCAUAAAUAGCCGCAGUACCCUGACUGUGCAAAGGUAGCAUAAUCAUUUGGCUUAUAAUUGAAGUCUAGUAUGAAUGAACGCAUGGGGAAAAGCUCUAUUAGGUGGCACACAUUGAAAUUACUUAGUGGGUGCAAAUACCCACUCCUACAUAAAAGACGAGAAGACCCUAGAAAUUUUAAUGAUAAGUUAAGGUCAAUUUUUGUUGGGGCAACAUAGUAGCAUUUAAUCUACAUUAAUGACACGGCAUAUUAUAGUAAGAUUAAAUUACUCUAGGGAUAACAGCGUAAUUUAUAUGAGUUUGCGACCUCNAUGUUGGACUAGGAAGCGGAUGCUUAAAA
rnacentral:rRNA from 1 species